UUAGUUACUCUAAUCAAGAAGGAAUGUUACACACAUGCAGGAGAAAGUGAAAUCACGUGGAGGCAUCGCACAUGCACUCGUAUGGAUAGCGUGAGGAUCUGUUGCAAAAUUCCUGCCGGCAGGAAGUUAGCACUGUCCAUCGUUUUUUUUCUCCUCCACUGACUUUAUCUGUUUUCAUUCACCAUUUCGUGCAGCUUGGAGGCAGAGAGCCAUGGCGAUUUUGGCUGGAUAGCUUAGUCGCCGAUCUCUCGAGGCCGAGUCGGUGGUUAGGCGUCCGGUCCUCAUCCCCCUCCCCCUGCUCCUUCUCCUUCAAGCGCGUGUUGAGAGACUGGCGAAAUCGACGCAUGGUGAUUUGGCGGCGGUGCCUUAUCUCCCUUUGAUUUCGUGCGGCUCCUCCUUUGCUGUGGUGUUCUCUGAGCCUGCGCCUCCCCUCUUCAUCCAACGAGGGUGUUGGAGUGUUGCCUGCUCAUUUGUGUUAGUUCUUUAUUUCUAGUUUAUUAUGUAUAAUUUUUCUUGGUAGGCACCUUAGGUAUUUGUUCAAUGUAGUAAUUUACACUCUAUGCAAUCUGGUGUUGUGUAUAAUUUUGUUUCCAGGUUGCUUCAUUUCCUGGUUGCUCCA